GGAUGACACUAACCUGCUGUAAAAAAAAAAAAAAAGAUAAAAAUUAACAAAAAUCCAUCUGUACGCCAUAUUUUGUAAGCUGUAUUGCUUAAACAGCAACAAAUGUGGUUCUUAUCAACUGAAAAUGUUACAGUUUUUAAAAUUAUUCUUUGUGUCACAUAUAUAUGACUAAAGCCUGAUUAGAUUUUAGACAAAUACCAAGAGAUUUUCAUACACUUUGUCAAGAUAUCUGAUGAAAAGUGGAAAAUUUAUUGGUUAGUGACCAAUCUAAAAUAAUGAAAUGCCUAAUGAAUUCCCAGGAAGAAAUCUAUGCAAAACCUCUCUUGCCUUGAAAUACACAUGCACCCCUUCCUCAGACUCCAUGACUAGACAUUAUUUACUUAAAACUGGGAUUUAUUUACUUCACUUCAUUUUUCACUUUUUAAAUAAUCACUUGUCUGUUUAAGAUUAAACCUACCUACUAUUCUGUGGAAUUGUGCUCCACAGAUCAAAUUCAUUUUGCAUAUGCAUUUUUGCAUUAAUGUGAUUGCUUAGUUAAACCAGUGACUUCUGGCCAGAAAGUAUCUUAUACUAUAUAUUCAGCAGAAAGAAACCAUAAUGAAAUUUUCAGUAAGACUUGAUGGAAUUGAGCAUGCUCAGGCAAUAAGCUAGAAAUCUAAUUUCUAAUUUCUUACUUAUAGUCUAUGAAUAUGGAAGGUGUCAUGGAGUUAUCUCUAGAUCUCUCUGUGUCCGUGACAGUGGGACAGCAGGCCCACAGGCCCACUGGCCUGAAAAGGGGGGGGGAUGUGGGGGGAAUGUCAACCAUUUACGGGCCAGUUUGGCUCAGUACUGUGACUAAUGGGGUAGUGGAUCUAUGGACUCAUGCCCUGAGAAAAGGGGAAGGGAAAGAAAGGGAAAGGGUAGUGAGACUGGAGAUGGGCCUAAACAAUAUAACAGCAGCAAUGAUCUGAGGAGGAAAGUUAAUUUACUAAAUAUGAUAUUGGAAUGCAAGACAACACAGUAUAAUAUGGUAUAAUUGGAAUUGAGGCUAAUAAAACAAAAAAAGAAGAGAGAAGGAGUGUCCGAAAUUGAAGGCCUUACUCUGAAUUGAAGGCAAAAUGGCUGGGGAGCACACACACUGCCAGGCAAUGAGAAAGAGAAAGAGACCAGUCUCAUGACUUGCCAGGAGUUCUAUCUUUCCUUCUGGAUGCAAAGUCCUUUGGGAUGCAACUGAACAAUCCUUGUAACAUGAAAAGGAAUCAAAUAAAAAACAGACAGACAAGAACCCAUAGGAAAAAAAAAAAAAAAAAAUGUAUAAUUAGAGACAUACUAGUAAGAAGUUGCUAAGAAAGUAUAAAAUGUGCAUAUGUACACACUUUCACUAUACAUAUAUUGCUAUGACCUGGAUUUCUGGGGCUUCUGAAGAGUAGUAAAAAUAUGCAUGGCAGAGAAUGCAUUAAGAUUUUGCUGAAUUACAAAUGAAAAACAUCCUCCAGAUACUCUGUAUUAAAGCUACUUAAAAGAAAAUUAGAUAGAUAAAAGAAAAUUUCUAAGAUGAAUGAACAGGUUAACAGAAAAUAUAUACUUUGAUAAAUUGUCCAAAGAGUAGAUGUAUGAACACAGUGAAGAAAAAGAUCCUUCUGUGGCACAAAAAAAAAGAGCUGUUAUAAUAAGGAUCUCAAAAUUUAGCCAUGGGGAGAAUACAUCAGGGUUGUGAAGAGUGAGAACAGGACCCUGCAGUUAUAGAGAGAAGGGCCUCAGAGCAAGAAAAGGGAAAGUAGCUUCACAAAGUAGAAAUAAGGAGCAAAUAGAGAUAGUUUAUGUAAGGAGUGUUAGAAAACAAGGGAUUCCAAGCACUUUCACAGACACUAGGUCUGGAAUAUCAAGGAGGAUGAAGGCCAUAAAGAUAAGGACUGGAGAGCAGCUCAAAAACAUUUGGCAGGGAGGUGAUUAGAUGUCUACAGGGCAAGUUGAAACCGGUUCAGGAGAUGCCCCCCCUUUGGGGGCAGAAGUUUGCAGCAAGGAAGGCUACGAGCCUUCGCGAGGAAGACUAUGAGCCUUCAUCAUCAUGACCUACUACGCACGCGCAAGGGGGGGGAGGGACUGCAUGCUAAUGGGCUCUCGGGAAUGUAAUGAAUAUGUAUCCGAAUUCCUGUCAACUAUUGAUUAUGUAUUAGUUCGAUCUAUAUCUAUAGCACGAUUUCUCCUGAUGGUGUACAAGUUAGGUGGAGCGAUCCCCCUUGCACCAGGGUGUACGUGCGUCACCAAUAAACACAUGCCUACUCUGUAUCCUUACCGGCUAUAGGGUCUGAUUUCCACACGUCAGUUGAUCAUAACUAAUUACAUUACAGGCAGUUGACUGCCUAUAGAUUAUGUAAAUAUAACUGUAAACCUCACAUACCUGAGUUGCUCAAUUACAUUUCUUCAGUAUCAGGUAUGCAAAAUCCGCGUAUUGAUACAAAAUUUACUAUUACUUAGUUAUCAUUAAAUAAAUUAUGUAUUUUACCACUAUUUAGUCUGAUAGCUU
rnacentral:lncRNA from 1 species